UAUAGUAUACUGUAAAUACAGUUCCUAUCUCUACUUUCCGUUUCCCGUAAGGAGAAGCAGAGCCAACGGUAAUGUCUGCUUCCCUCUCCUCGCCUUUUCUUUAUAAACACAGUUCCUAACUCUAUUUUCCGUUUCCCAAAAGGAGAAGCAGAGCCAAAUAUAAUGCCUGCUUCUCUCUCCUCGCUUUUUUUUCCACUUCCCUCUUCCGCUUCUCCUUCAAAUUCCAACGCUCACUUUUCUCCUUCACCUCCUUCUCCACGACACUGUCUCAUUCCAAAAUCAAACCACCACCGCCACCACCGUCGUCGUCUCUCUCUUUAUUUCCUCUCAAUAACCUCGUGUAAACGCUGAAUUCACUGGCUCCUCUUCCUCUUCAUCGAUGCCUCCAGAAGUCUCUUCCUCCUCUCAGUUCAGGACAGUUUGCUAUAUUCAAGGGCAUUUUGGGUAACUCAAUCUAUAAUCGCGUGGAGUGCGGAUACUGUUAGAGACGGUUAUUGUUAUUAAUACGCUAGCCAAACCGCUGCAUUAACCGUUACGGAUACUGAAGUGGAAGAAAAUCAAGAUUGAAGAAGACAGCGGUGGCCUUCCAUGACAUGUAAUUGCGAACAAAGCUUUCGAAGAGCCUUCAAUUGUGGAUGCCAAAUCUCUCGUGGAAUGCCAAUUAGCCGUCGCGGCAUUCAGCUCUGAUGGGAAAUGCAGCAAGCUACUGGUUUGCAGUUACCUGGUAUUCUGAAUGAAUUGUUUGCGAAUUAAUGAUGGUCAAUCGGUGUGCAUUAUUAAGAACAUGCUGGGUUUGCUCUAUCUAUGGGCUCACACUGCUCAGGUGUAUGACAUUUUGAAACAGAUUCUCUUGUUUUGUUUGUUUUCUAUGAACUUGUCUUCUUCUAUGCGAUAGGUAAUGUUUUAUUAUUAUUAUUAUUAUUAUUGCUUCUAAAAAGACAGUGCGUACCUGCAUUUAUAAGAAUGUGGAUAGCAGGGGUGUCAUGUAAGUUAUUCAGUUGAAGGAGUGUGGAGUGUGGAGUAUUGAAGGAGGUUAUUGGGAAGGUUGUUAUUUUUUGUAUGAAGUGUCUGUCUACCAUCCUAGCAUCUUACACGUUGAAAAAUGCUAUGCAGAUGAUCCAUAUGCUAGAGCGCUUGUUGGGUGUCUCAGUUUGCCAACAAUUCUGUGAAAUAGUUAAAUUGUUUCCUUGCUCUGAAAUUAUGCAGCUUUGCUGAUCAUCUCAAUAUGUUUGUAUUUGUAUUUUGUGCAUACAAAUGUGUAAAAUUCCUCUGAUUUUAUGCUGUUUCUUUGUUAGAAGGCUCUCACCAGAUAGCCAGAGGACAUCAUUUGUGAAUCUUGAUUCAGAUAUUUUAUUGGCCUUCAUGUUGUGUUGGGCGCUGUCUGCAAUCAUUUGCAUGGAAAUGGGCCCUUUGAUGAGAAUUAUGUUCUUGACAAUGUUCUUAUAAUUAUUGUUCUUUUGAUAUCCAGUCAAACUACGCUUUCCUCACAGUACUUAUGGCCUGAAUAAUCUCGAAAGCUUUGCCAGCUAUAACUGGAGUGAUGCUAUUCCUUGAUCAUUUCACAAAUUUUAGUACAAUCCUUCAAAUAAUUACUCUCAUACUUGAAUGUUAUUCUGUAAUGAUAAUUUCAUCAUCCUUCUUUUUCCUUC